GAUCCUGUUGGUGACUAUUGGUUCAGAAUUUUGGGGUCUCAGAUGACUUUGGGUCUCAGAUGAAUUUGUGGUUCCAAGUUCAAGCCGAAGCUUUGAUCCUGUGUUCUGAGAGACACAGCCAACCAGUCCAGUCUGCAUCAUUUGCAUCAUAGCAUAUUUAUUUUUCAAAAGAAACGCAAAUAAAGAAAAAAGAUAAAAAAGAAAAA
rnacentral:lncRNA from 1 species